rnacentral:rRNA from 1 species
UACGUAGGGUGCAAGCGUUAAUCGGAAUUACUGGGCGUAAAGCGUGCGCAGGCGGCUUUGCAAGACAGAUGUGAAAUCCCCAGGCUCAACCUGGGAACUGCAUUUGUGACUGCAUGGCUAGAGUACGGUAGAGGGGGAUGGAAUUCCGCGUGUAGCAGUGAAAUGCGUAGAUAUGCGGAGGAACACCGAUGGCGAAGGCAAUCCCCUGGGCCUGCACUGACGCUCAUGCACGAAAGCGUGGGGAGCAAACAGG